rnacentral:rRNA from 1 species
AUUGAACGCUGGCGGAAUGCUUUACACAUGCAAGUCGAACGGUAGAGGGGGCAACCCCUCGAGAGUGGCGAACGGGUGAGUAAUAUAUCGGAACGUGCCCAGUCGGGGGGGAUAACGUAGCGAAAGUUACGCUAAUACCGCAUACGAUCUAAGGAUGAAAGCGGGGGAUCGCAAGACCUCGCGCGAUUGGAGCGGCCGAUAUCAGAUUAGGUAGUUGGUGGGGUAAAGGCUCACCAAGCCAACGAUCUGUAGCUGGUCUGAGAGGACGACCAUCCACACUGGAACUGAGACACGGUCCAGACUCCUACGGGAGGCAGCAGUGGGGAAUUUUGUACAAUGGACGCAAGUCUGAUCCAGCCAUUCCGCGUGCAGGAUGAAGGCCCUCGGGUUGUAAACUGCUUUUGUACGGAACGAAAAGGUCUCUCUUAAUACGGGGGGCUCAUGACGGUACCGUAAGAAUAAGCACCGGCUAACUACGUGCCAGCCGCCGCAGUAA